rnacentral:sRNA from 1 species
CUCUCUUGAUGCGUGGUAGUAAAGGGAAGUAGUAUUCGUGUUAAACUGAGGAAAAGCCCAUAGUCAAAGCAAUCCAGAUGAAUACGUGGAAUCAUAAUGGGAUUGGUUAUGGAAGGUAAUGAUAGUUACUGUGGGGCUAGUCUUGCAAGAGGAUUUCUAACCUGCUGGAGACCUGCCUUGCUACUCUUCAGGCAUCAAUAACCUGCAGGACGUGUGGGAGACGAGUGAAGGCGAGUGCAAUGUCAUGCUGGAAUCCCGCUUUGAGAAGAUGUAUGAGAAGAUCGACUUGACUCUGCUCAAUAGGCUGCUGCGCCUCAUCGUGGACCACAACAUAGCCGACUACAUGACAGCCAAGAACAACGUCGUCAUCAACUAUAAGGACAUGAACCAUACGAAUUCAUAUGGGAUCAUCAGAG